CAUGUACUCCCUCCGUCCGAAAAUACUUGCCAUUGAAAUGGAUGUAUCUAGAUGUAUUUUAGUUCUAGAUACAUCCAUUUUCAUCCAUUUUGAUGACAAGUAAUUCCGGACUGAGGGAGUAGUUG
rnacentral:pre_miRNA from 1 species